GACGAACGCUGGCGGCGUGCUUAACACAUGCAAGUCGAACGGAAAGGCCCUGCUUUUGUGGGGUUCUCGAGUGGCGAACGGGUGAGUAACACGUGAGUAACCUGCCCUUGACUUUGGGAUAACUUCAGGAAACUGGGGCUAAUACCGGAUAGGAGCUCCUGCAGCAUGGUGGGGGUUGGAAAGUUUCGGCGGUUGGGGAUGGACUCGCGGCUUAUCAGCUUGUUGGUGGGGUAGUGGCUUACCAAGGCUUUGACGGGUAGCCGGCCUGAGAGGGUGACCGGCCACAAUGGGACUGAGGUACGGCCCAGACGCGUACGGGAGGCAGCGGUGGGGAAUAUUGCACAGUGGGCGGAAGCCUGAUGCAGAAACGCCGCGUGCGGGAUGACGGCCUUCGGGUUGUAAACAGCUUUCGCCUGAGACGAAGCGGGAGUGACGGUAAUGGGUAAAGAAGCACCGGCUAACUACGUG
rnacentral:rRNA from 1 species